AUGCAGACUCAUUUCGGUCUACAAGUCACGGACGUGAUGCCUAUGUUCAUGAUCAUUGCCUUAAAUAUUGUCAUAAUUAAUUGCUUUUCUAUCAAUUGCUCAACAGUAAUUUGUUUACCCACCGUAUGCUUUCUUUCAAGAGAGAAGUCUCUAGUGAAAACUAUGACCCGGGGGUCUAUCUUUUAUCUUAUUAUUUUCAGAUCUAUAAGACCGAAACCCCAAAAAUACCUUGUUGCAAUUUAUUUACAUUUACUUUAUUUUGCACUUUUAUUUAUCUUUUAUACCUAUCUCUAUCAUACCUCAUCCUUGCAAGUGUCCGUGAAGGAAUUGACAACCCCUUUUAUCGUGUUGGGUGCAAGUAUUUGUUUGUUUAUGCAGGUGCUGUCAUUGAAGACUUGUGUGUUCCUCUUAUUGGAUUGA
rnacentral:rRNA from 1 species